AUUGAACGCUGGCGGCAUGCUUUACACAUGCAAGUCGGACGGCAGCACAGAGAAGCUUGCUUCUUGGGUGGCGAGUGGCGCACGGGUGAGUAAUAUAUCGGAACGUACCGAGUAAUGGGGGAUAACUAAUCGAAAGAUUAGCUAAUACCGCAUAUUCUCUGAGGAGGAAAGCAGGGGACCUUCGGGCCUUGCGUUAUUCGAGCGGCCGAUAUCUGAUUAGCUAGUUGGUGGGGUAAAGGCCUACCAAGGCGACGAUCAGUAGCGGGUCUGAGAGGAUGAUCAGCCACACUGGGACUGAGACACGGCCCAGACUCCUACGGGAGGCAGCAGUGGGGAAUUUUGGACAAUGGGCGCAAGCCUGAUCCAGCCAUGCCGCGUGUCUGAAGAAGGCCUUCGGGUUGUAAAGGACUUUUGUCAGGGAAGAAAAGGCUGUUGCUAAUACCGACAGCUGAUGACGGUACCUGAAGAAUAAGCACCGGCUAACUACGUG
rnacentral:rRNA from 1 species